rnacentral:rRNA from 1 species
UGCGUAGGCGGACCUAUCAGUCAGUGGUGAAAUCCCGGGGCUCAACUCCGGAACUGCCAUUGAUACUGUAGGUCUUGAGUUUGGUUGAAGUGGGCGGAAUGUAGCAUGUAGCGGUGAAAUGCAUAGAUAUGCUACAGAACACCGAUCGCGAAGGCAGCUCACUAAACCAAAACUGACGCUCAGGCACGAAAGCGUGGGUAGCGAACAGGAUUAGAUACCCUGGUAGUCC